CUACGGGGGGCAGCAGUGGGGAAUAUUGCACAAUGGGCGCAAGCCUGAUGCAGCCAUGCCGCGUGUAUGAAGAAGGCCUUCGGGUUGUAAAGUACUUUCAGCGGGGAGGAAGGGAGUAAAGUUAAUACCUUUGCUCAUUGACGUUACCCGCAGAAGAAGCACCGGCUAACUCCGUGCCAGCAGCCGCGGUAAUACGGAGGGUGCAAGCGUUAAUCGGAAUUACUGGGCGUAAAGCGCACGCAGGCGGUUUGUUAAGUCAGGUGUGAAAUCCCCGGGCUCAACCUGGGAACUGCAUCUGAUACUGGCAAGCUGGAGUCUCGUAGAGGGGGGUAGAAUUCCAGGUGUAGCGGUGAAAUGCGUAGAGAUCUGGAGGAAUACCGGUGGCGAAGGCGGCCCCCUGGACGAAGACUGACGCUCAGGUGCGAAAGCGUGGGGAGCAAACAGGAUUAGAUACCCUUGUAGUC
rnacentral:rRNA from 1 species